GAUGAACGCUGGCGGCAGGCUUAACACAUGCAAGUCGAGCGCCCCGCAAGGGGAGCGGCAGACGGGUGAGUAACGCGUGGGAAUCUACCCAUCUCUACGGAAUAACGCAUGGAAACGUGUGCUAAUACCGUAUACGUCCUUCGGGAGAAAGAUUUAUCGGAGAUGGAUGAGCCCGCGUUGGAUUAGCUAGUUGGUGGGGUAAAGGCCUACCAAGGCGACGAUCCAUAGCUGGUCUGAGAGGAUGAUCAGCCACACUGGGACGGAGACACGGCCCAGACUCCUACGGGAGGCAGCAGUGGGGAAUAUUGGACAAUGGGCGCAAGCCUGAUCCAGCCAUGCCGCGUGAGUGAUGAAGGCCCUAGGGUUGUAAAGCUCUUUCACCGGUGAAGAUAAUGACGGUAACCGAAGAAGAAGCCCCGGCUAACUUCGUGCCAGCCGCCGCCGUAAGAC
rnacentral:rRNA from 1 species